UUGGAGUCUUCCAGGUCGACACGUCGGGCGUCUCCAAAGCAGAGGAAGACGGCGAGACCGACGACGUGGACGGCGCCGACCAGCCAGAAAAGGGGGGCCCACGAGUCGGUUCCCUCGAUCAGCUCCGGAUGAGGUUUGCCUGAAAGGAUCACGCGGCGGACAUUUUACUGAUGUUUGCAAAGGUGCCACAAGUCAACUGGACGUCAAUUUGGGGAAAAACAGCGUUCGAGCUGACUCGGAUCAGACGCUCUGGAAUCCAUCGUGACGGCAGGGAUGCUUUCCCCGAAAAGUCACCUUGCAGUACUCCCAUGAGGACUCGGGCCAAGGUCAUGAGGGCCAGGCUGUGAGAGCCGAGGCGGGCCAGAAGGGGCGUGGCGGCGGUGACCGCCGCCCACGAGGUGGCCGAG